rnacentral:rRNA from 1 species
UCCCAUCAGAACUCCGCAGUUAAGCGCGCUUGGGCUAGAGUAGUACUGGGAUGGGUGACCUCCCGGGAAGUCCUAGUGUUGCACCCUC